GUCCACGACGGAGGACGGGUGGUCGCUACCGGGCCAGUGGGGAGAAAGAAAGAGAGAAACACACACACGCGCGAGGCGUGGAACGACAAGUCGGGUGACCCGGGGACCUGCGCACCUGCCGGGUUCUCGUCCCCGCCGCGGCGGACCGGGUCGCGGAGAGCCGGAGUAACUCCAGCUGCGGCAAGACCAGCCUUCCUCUCUGGACACCCUGAGGAACCUCCAGAACCAACAGGCAGAGGAAGUUGGAGUCUCCAGGAAGAGGCCCGAACUGUGAUGGUGGAGGUGGAGCCGCCCGCCAGCCACAUGCAAUUCAGGGGCAGAGUUUAGUGACGUCUGCACUGCAACGGCGUCGCUUUGCUGUGCACGUGUCUGAUGAAGAGAUGAGUUGUAGAGCUCAGCGAUGCUCCUUGAUCACGCCACUUUCUCAGUCCUCUUCCUCCUCUGAGCUGACAUCUGCUCACAGCCGGCCUGCGGGAGGAAAGGCGGAAAAAUUUUGAGCAUUCUGGCUCUCCACUAUUGCUGUGGAUGCCAAAACAACAUCUACCGUGGCCAGGGGACCUGUUAAGAGCGCCGAGGAAAACUGGAGCUUGCAGCCAGAAGACAGCAGGACAGAGGCAUGAGCAGUCAUGGGUGUGUGCUGUGGAUGUCUGCGUGUGUCUGCUUGUGGGUGUGAAAUAUUGAUGAAGUCAACUGACUUUUUGCAGCUGACCAAGGAGAUUUAUACAGUAAGGAUUGGCCGAUGUCUUGAAAUACCUUGACAAUAACAGUAAACAAGUCAUUUUGAGUAAUAUUGAAUAUUUAGUAAAACUGAAAUUUUAGUGACCUAUUUUGCUUCCAGGUAACCCAUCCGCUUCCGACUAGCACCCUGAGGACUUCUCUUCAUUCAUAGGACUUUCGGGCCUUUAAUAGAAGUGGCUGGAGAGUGUUCACUAAUGUCACAAGAAGUAUGACUUUUAUUCAUACAAACAAAUAGUUAUAUGAAAAAGACCCAGACCUUUACUUUACUUUGCAGACGCUUUUAUCCAAAUCGACUUACCAGGAGAAGACACAAGCCAUUCUCAUUCGGUUUCCAUAGAUUGUGAGUUACAAAACUAAGAGCCCUGAUAAGGCCUAACUUGUCAAUAAUAGAACAUUCUAGGGAAUUGUUAGGUGUUAGACAAAAGUUUUUUUUUUGUGUGUGUGCGUGUUAGACUCGUUUGAAAAACUUUACAAAUGUUUUCAAAUGUUUCUUAAAGGUGGUGGUAGUCUCGGCUAGUCGAAUGGAGGAGGGCAAGUUGUUCCACCAGCCAGGGACAACAAAGGAGAACAGAGUUGAUUGGAAUCGGAGACCCAGUGAAGAGGGAAUUUUCAGUCUCAUUUUGUUUGCAGGUCUGAGAGAGCAGGAGUGUAGCUAGGUAGUAUUGUAUUGAUGUAGGAGGGUGCAGUUCCAUUUACAGCCCUGUAGGCAGCAUCAAGGACUUGAACUCAAUGUGAGCAGCUACCGGGAGCCAGUGGAGAGAGGUGAGAAGAGGUGUAACAUGGGUGUAUUUUGGCUGAUUGAAGAUGAGAUGGGCUGCCAUAUUUUGGAUCAUCUGGAGAGGUUUUAUGGUGACUGCAGAGGCUCCAGCCAGGAGAGAGUUACAAUAGUCGAGUUUGGAGAUGACCAUUGCCUGGACGAGGAGCUGCGUAGCCUGUUGUGAAAGAAAAGGCCGAAUCUUGCGAAUGUUGUAGAGAGUGAACCUGCAGGAACUGGAGAUCGCAGCAACAUGAUGGUUCAGACUCAGUUUGUCAGACCUGGAUAAUUAUAUCAUCCAGUCAGUAUAUCAUAUGGGCAAAUUAACUCCUCAGUUUUUGCACUUUAAUUCAAGUAUUCUGUUUGGUGAUAUAACAUUAGCAAACACUCCCUGUGCACUACGUGUUAUAUAGAAUUAACAUAAUAAAUUAUAAUCAUCCACCA
ensembl:lncRNA